GUGUCAGCCGCCGCGGUAAUACAGAGGGUGCGAGCGUUAAUCGGAUUUACUGGGCGUAAAGCGUGUGUAGGUGGCUCGCUAAGUCGAUUGUGAAAUCCCUGGGCUUAACCCGGGAAUUGCAGUCGAUACUGGCGGACUAGAGUUCGGUAGAGGACGGCAGAAUUCCCGGUGUAGCGGUGAAAUGCGUAGAGAUCGGGAGGAAUACCGAUGGCGAAAGCAACCGUCUGGGCCUGAACUGACACUGAGACACGAAAGCGUGGGGAGCAAACAGGAUUAGAUACCCUGGUAGUCC
rnacentral:rRNA from 1 species